UUUAUGGAGAGUUUGAUCCUGGCUCAGGAUGAACGCUGGCGGCGUGCCUAAUACAUGCAAGUCGAGCGAACGGACGAGAAGCUUGCUUCUCUGAUGUUAGCGGCGGACGGGUGAGUAACACGUGGAUAACCUACCCAUAAGACUGGGAUAACUUCGGGAAACCGGAGCUAAUACCGGAUAAUAUUUUGAACCGCAUGGUUCAAAAGUGGAAGACGGUCUUGCUGUCACUUAU
rnacentral:rRNA from 1 species